rnacentral:tRNA from 1 species
GGCCCUUUAGCUCAGUGGUUAGAGCUGGCGACUCAUAAUUGCACGGUCACCGGUUCAAGUCCGGUAGGGGCCACCA